UAGCCGGUCGAUAAACCGGAGGAAGUGGGGAUGACGUCAAGUCAGCAUGGCCUUUAUAUCCUGGGCUACACACACGCUACAAUGGGAAAGGGACAAUAGGUUGCGAAGCCGCGAGGCGGAGCCAAUCCAGCAAAAACUUCCCUCAGUUCAGAUUGCAGGCUGCAACCCGCCUGCAUGAAGUUGGAGUUGCUAGUAAACGCAGGUCAGCCAUACUGCGUUGAAUACGUUCCCGGGGCUU
rnacentral:rRNA from 1 species